rnacentral:rRNA from 1 species
AUACGUAGGGGGCGAGCGUUGUCCGGGAAUUAUUGGGCGUAAAGGGUUCGUAGGCGGUUAUUUAAGUCAGGUGUGAAAGGCAUAGGCUCAACCUGUGUAAGCACUUGAAACUGAAUGACUUGAGUUAAGGAGAGGAAAGUGGAAUUCCUAGUGUAGCGGUGAAAUGCGUAGAUAUUAGGAGGAAUACCAGUGGCGAAGGCGACUUUCUGGACUUAUACUGACGCUGAGGAACGAAAGCGUGGGGAGC